rnacentral:lncRNA from 1 species
CUGUAGUCCUGUAGUUGCUCGCGCCUACAAGUUUGAGACCAGCCUGGGCAACAGGAGGAAAUCUCUGCGCCAAUAAUUAAUUAAUUAAUGAUUGAUUAAAAUGUAAAAGGAGGCAGAGAGCCAGGCAAGGCUACCCAAAGUCAGCUCCCUGUGAAUAACGGGCAAGGUCCCCGCCACCCCCGUUUCAGACAGUAGCCAAAGCAGCCCAGGUUCCCACCAGGAGAGCCACCGAGGGGCUUGGUGCCGCUCCAGGCUCGCCAGAGGUCGGGACUGCAGGGGCCCUGCCCCCUGUGCCGCCAGCCCUGCUCAUCACCACCGCCAGCCCGCCUCCAGGGCUGCUGGGGGAAGCGGUCCAGCUGGCAGCAGACACUAGGACGUGCGGGGCGGCCCGGCCGCGGUCCCCGGUCCCCGUGGGAGUCUUCAGCGCCGCAAGAAGUCGCUUUCUCAGGGUACCUGCAGGGGUCCGAGCAGCAGGGCCUGGUUCCUUGGCGUCCUAUGGAUCUGCACCACUCUGAGCUGAGUGGUGGGUAAGAGAUGCGCGUGGAGAGAAAGACUUCGCCGGGAGAAAGGAGGCCGCGCGCCAGAGGUGCUCAGUUCCGAGUUUCCUUGAGCUGGGCCCGGCCCGCUUUCCCCACUGAACUGCCGUCGAGUGCACAGCCCCCCCCCCCCGCCCACCCCGAUCGAUCGUAAAGUUCCAGAAGCUGCAGUGACGACCGGCCCGUCCUUUCAACCCGACAGCCGGAUCCCAGCCUUGCAGGUGCGGGGCGCGGGGGACCGGAGCGGUUCGGGACCCAGGUGACGCUGAGCCCCGGGGCCCUCGGGCCCGCUAGUGCAGGGAGUUGGUGCCCCGGAGCUCAGGGACAGAGAGGGUCAGAGAUGGGGCUUGAAACGGGGUGCGGGUGCUGCCCAGAAUGCAAAGUGAGCUUCCCGGCCGCCAGAGCAUCUGGGGGUUUCUGUCCGUCCGUCCGUUUGUCUUUGCUUUCGGUCUUUGGCGGGAGCAGAACUCACCCCGGCGGCGUCUGCAGUCCCCGGGGCGGCCUCAGGUUCUAGCCGUGCACGAGACCGGUGUGGACCGGUGCUGCGGGAGAUGCCGAGCUCGGUCAGUCCCUGGGCCGCGACAGGAGAGGAGAGGACGCUGGGGACCGCAGAGAAGCAGAGCCCAGGGGACCCGAGCCCCCGGCCUGGCCGCGCAGUUUUCCUGGCGGGUUUCCGUGGUGUCCUCUCGCAGGUCCGGAAGGGGGAAGGAUGUCAGAGGCCCUGCCCACCUGAGGGCCCGGCUGGCUGCGUUCGAGGCGAGAGGAGACAGCCAGUGCGAAGCUUCCGGAGGUCUAGGACAAAGCCUAAAGGGAUUGGGAAGCGCAGGUUCCUGGCGUUACUGCCUCGGAAAACACGAAGGGAUGGCACAGGAACACGCGCGGCCUCUUGGACCGGCACCCUGGAAACCGCAUCCCCGGGGCCCCGACGGGAGUGCCGGGUGGGAGGCAGGGACUCUGAGCGGGAAGGCGACUGAGAGUGGGCCUGCCCUGGCCUCGCAGGAAGGGCACCCCGAACCGCCCUGUACCCCCGAAGGCCGGGCAAUCCUCUUCCUCAGCAGACCCUGCGGGCAGCUUUCUCUACAACAGGGGACCCAGGAGACAAGCAGCGGCCAGGACUGGACCCAGGCCGGCAGUGGACAGGAGGCCGGAAGCAAGAUGCAGACUCGGAGCUUGGAGCUCGGAGCUCGGGGCUCCCAGGAAAUGCACCUCUGACUUGCAAUAUGGCACCAGAGGAGGGCCGCUGGCUGGCAUGAGAGUCACGAUGGAGGGAGGCAAAUCUCUGCUCUGACCUGUGAACAAAAGCUGACAGCUCUCUAUAGUAUUAUCUCCUUGAUUUUAGGCCGAAAGGCUGGCGCCUGGGCGUGAUUAGACCGUCUACCCCGCCCGCCGCAACCUCGCAUAUAGCCCACAAGGUGGCGCCACAAAGCAGUCGCAGCGGGACGAACCAACUGCGAGUCCAGCGAGGCGUAUGUCCGUCACCGUCCGGGUUUCCAAUACCCAGGACGUGGAGUUACAGAAGUCGCCACGUGAAUUUUUUUUUUAAAAAGGAGAAUAAAUUGCAAUGAUAGUGUGCAACAAUGUCCUAAAGUGUAAAACUCUAACUUUUUUUACAUUUGUGGUUGCAAUUUUCCAAAAAGACGUAAUAAAUCUAGUAAUCUCACCCAAAUAUUAAUUCAUUUACUUUUUCAUAAAAGCAUCGAAUUUUAGUGAUGUUAGAAUGAACCUUGAAGGCUGCCUGGUCUACCUUUCCACCCUUAGGAGAAAACCCAGGGAUCGCUCUCCA